GCGCAGGUACGUGGCGCUGAUCGACAGCAA
rnacentral:sRNA from 1 species